rnacentral:misc_RNA from 1 species
CUAUCGAUCUGUGAGCGUAUAUGCAAUGAGGAAAAUGCGGAGUCAAACAGGUAUAAUGUCAGAGAAAGACAACAACCCCCAGGUUACAACAAAUGAAAUACCAAAUUCGCCCCACCCUUUGGAGGAAUUCAAGAGAAUCGCGAAACAAAUCAAGAAUGACAUAACUGAUCAGAAAUUCGCAAAGCAUAUGGACGACAAUGACCCCCUUCGGAGUCUACGGCAGGAUUUUUGCUACCCAAAAAUGAAGGAUUUACUUGGCGCGGACCUGAGCUUGGUAGACCCUAACGAGGACUGUGUGUACUUUUGUGGAAACUCCUUAGGUCUGUGUCCGAAAAUGACGAAACAGUACAUGGACGUUCAACUUGAGAAGUGGGCAAAAACUGGAGCGCAAGGUUACCACCAGGAUGUGCCCUGGGUAAACUGUCACGAACACCUGGACACAGACAUGGCCAAGAUCGUCGGCGGUAGACCAGGGGAGGUUGCCAUUAUGAACGGACUCACCGUCAACCUUCAUCACCUACUUAUAUCUUUCUAUCGUCCGACUCAGAAGCGACACAAGAUUUUGUGUGAGACUAACGCCUUUCCAUCUGAUUAUUACACUUUCCAAAGUCAAAUAAGCCUGCACGGAUAUGAUCCAGAAACAAGUCUGCUAUGUGUUGAACCAAAAGUAGGUGAGGUAACACUGAGGACUGAGGACAUUCUAGCCAAGAUAGAGGAGGAAGGCGACUCUAUUGCUGUUAUAUGUUUCAGCGGGGUACACUACUACACCGGGCAGAUGUUUGACAUGCUGAGUAUUACACGUGCUGGUCACGCCAAGGGGUGUUACGUGGGGUUUGAUUUGGCACAUGCUGCUGGUAAUGUACCACUAUACCUACAUGAUUGGGAUAUUGACUUCGCCUGUUGGUGUACCUAUAAGUAUAUGAACUCCAGUCCAGGCAGUCUGGCGUGUAUCUUUCUCCACAAUAAACACAAACAGAACGACUUCCCUAAGCUGAUAGGCUGGUGGGGACAUCACCCUGACACUAAGUUCAACAUGGACAAUAAACUAGACCUAUGCACAGGCGCGUACGGUUACAGAGUCAGUGCUCCGCCCGGUCUCCUGUACCCACCAAUAAAAGCCAGUCUCGAGAUAUUCAACAAAACCUCCUUGGAGGAAAUACGAGCCAAAUCAAAGUUAUUGACGGCCUACCUGGAAUACCGCAUCGUAGAAAAGUAUGGACAGACCAAUGGGAUAGCAGAAAAGACUCUAGAGCCGAAAGACGGAGACCUGGAACAUGUACACAUUUUCACUCCGUCUGAUCCAGAGCAGCGUGGUGCCCAGCUGUCUCUCUCAUUUUCGGUCAACAUUUCUUACGUCUUCAAAGAGCUCGAGAAAAGGGGAGUAAUCUGUGACGAGAGGAAACCAUCAGUGAUCAGAGUGUCCCCAGCCCCUCUGUACUGUUCAUUCCAGGACGUCCAUCGCUUCAUGGAGUACCUCGACCAGGCCUUAAAAGCUGCUGCUAUCACAGCCGCGUUAGACAAGGAAUAAAUCUCUAUUAAGGCACAAAAAAUAUUUCUUAAGACAGCUAGAGAAAAUAUACAGGAGUGUUACAAUGCAAAUAUUUCCAAUAUUUUUUUUACAGCAUAUGCCAAAGUUAGUUAGAUUUUCAUGUUUUUUUCACUUCCUGAUUGAAUUUGUUCUUCCAUGAUCUUUUUUGGGUGAACUGUGGAUUUUAUCACUUGCAUGUGAUACAAUAAUCAAGUAUGGAGGUAUACAAGUAUGUUAAUCUCUCAGUUAUAUCAAGAUUGAUAUACAAAACAGUAUAUUUCCCUAGAAUACAGCUAUAUCAAAAGUGAAGUGUAAAAUCAAAGGUGCAGUGUACAUGUAAUCAAACAUUCGAACGACGGCCUGAUGUUUUAUGUGUCAAACUUUAUUUCUAAAUUUUUUUUAAAGUAGAAUUUAAUGUGUACUAAUGUCAUAUGUGCAGUAGUGAGAAAGUGAACAUUGAAGAAGUGCUGUCAACUUUCUGUAAGACCGAAGUUAUGGUCAUUUGUAACAAAGUUUGUCAAAAUGAGAUUUUGUAAAAAGACAAACGUGUUUUUGCAUGUACUGCCCAUUUUGUUAUAAUUCAGUGUUUUUGUUUACAUUAGCGGGCUAGCUCAUCGCCACGCCCCCUAACCCAUAAAAGGCGAUUGCCACAUCCGGGUUCAUAGAUCAGAGGUCAAAGCUCAUUGGUCAGUUUAACUUGGCAGCUAAACAUUUAGAAGAAAUUUUUUUCAGAAGAUCGCCAUCUUUAUUUAUACAGUCGCAGCAAUUUAUUUGAAUUUUCAACAUCUUGUGCUUGUUGGCUUGUCGUUUAUGCUUCAGUUUGCUUACAAACGACUGGUAGUAGAUUUUGAUCGAACUUUUUGUUAUCUCCGCGAGGAAAUUUCGAUCGGUGAAGCUUCCCAUGCAUCAAAACUGUGAGCCAGCAUCAGGAUCAACAUAAAACAUGGCGGCGGUACGCACGCUACAGGAACCGUUCCCCCAAUGACGGCUGUGGAAGAAGAAAACAGACAGGGAAAGUAGACUUUUUGCUUUAAUUGUCCCUUGUAUACACCAGACAGUAUGCGUCCGAGACGGAAGGCGGUAGCCAAUCAUUCGACAAUCCCCAAAAGGUCUCGGUUGGCUGAGAGUCAAGUUGAUACAGCUACCUCUGCCCAAACAGGUGCUCAAACCAGAGAAGUACCAGGUACAGCAGAAGUACAAGAAAACAGUGUCGCCUCUGGGCGAAUGAUACCCGAGGCGGACGUUGAACAAAUUGUCCAGAGGGCUGUGCAGCAAGGUGUGGAAAAAGCCUGUAGACAGUUUUUUCCCCAAAUUAACUUUAAUGCAGCAGGGGCCGGUGCUGUCUCAACAUCCUCACUGGCUGCCUCAA